CACGAACCGUACAAACGUUAUUCGGAAUUACUGGGCUUAAAGGGUGCGUAGGCGGCUCAGAAAGUUGGGUGUGAAAGCCCUCGGCUCAACCGAGGAACUGCGCUCAAUACUACUGGGCUUGAGGAAGACAGAGGUGAGCGGAACUACGGGUGGAGCGGUGAAAUGCGUUGAUAUCCGUAGGAACACCAGGGGCGAAAGCGGCUCACUGGGUCUUUUCUGACGCUGAGGCACGAAAGCCAGGGGAGCGAAC
rnacentral:rRNA from 1 species